rnacentral:rRNA from 1 species
CCUACGGGUGGCAGCAGUCGAGAAUCAUUCACAAUGGGGGAAACCCUGAUGGUGCGACGCCGCGUGGGGGAAUGAAGGUCUUCGGUUUGUAAACCCCUGUCAUGUGGGAGCAAAUUAAAAAGAUAGUACCACAAGAGGAAGAGACGGCUAACUCUGUGCCAGCAGCCGCGGUAAUACAGAGGUCUCAAGCGUUGUUCGGAAUCACUGGGCGUAAAGCGUGCGUAGGCUGUUUCGUAAGUCGUGUGUGAAAGGCGCGGGCUCAACCCGCGGACGGCACAUGAUACUGCGAGACUAGGGUAAUGGAGGGGGAACCGGAAUUCUCGGUGUAGCAGUGAAAUGCGUAGAUAUCGAGAGGAACACUCGUGGCGAAGGCGGGUUCCUGGACAUUAACUGACGCUGAGGCACGAAGGCCAGGGGAGCGAAAGGGAUUAGAUACCCGAGUAGUC